rnacentral:rRNA from 1 species
GGGGGGGGGGGGGGGGGGGGGGGGGGGGGGGGGGGGGGGGGGGGGGGGGGGGGGGGGGGUCGGCGGGCGGGGGCGGCGGGCGGGUGAGGAGCGCGUGGAGGACCUCCCUCUAAGACUGGGAUCACGGCGGGGAACCGGGGCUGAUACCGGAUGAUACAGUGCACCGCAUGGAUCCAUAGUGAACGGCGGUUUGGCUGUCGCCUAUCGAUGGAUCCGCGCCGCAUUAGCUAGUGGGUAUGGUCACGGCUUACCCAGGCAACGAUGCGGAGCCGACCUGAGAGGGUGAGCGGCCACACAGGAACUGAGACACGGUCCAGACUCCUACGGGAGGCAGCAGUAGGGAAUCUUCCGCAAUGGGCGAAAGCCUGACGGAGCAACGCCGCGUGAGUGAUGAAGGUCUUCGGAUCGUAAAACUCUGUUAUUAGGGAAGAACAAAUGUGUAAGUAACUAUGCACGUCUUGACGGUACCUAAUCAGAAAGCCACGGCUAACUACGUG